UACGAGGGGGGCAAGCGUUGUUCGGAAUUAUUGGGCGUAAAGGGCGCGUAGGCGGUUUGUCGCGUCUGCCGUGAAAGUCCGGGGCUCAACUCCGGAUCUGCGGUGGGUACGGGCAGACUAGAGUGAUGUAGGGGAGACUGGAAUUCCUGGUGUAGCGGUGAAAUGCGCAGAUAUCAGGAGGAACACCGAUGGCGAAGGCAGGUCUCUGGGCAUUAACUGACGCUGAGGAGCGAAAAGCAUGGGGAGCGAACAGG
rnacentral:rRNA from 1 species